AGGCACUAGUAAAACUCAUUACAUUGCCUUGUCAAGGCAAAAUUGUGGGUUAAAAUCCCGCGUGCCCU
rnacentral:tRNA from 1 species